AGAAACAGGAAGUGCCCCUCUUUUCCCCUCCGCUCUUGCUCCAGCGGCGGGAUGUGAUCCACUGGCAAGGAGGGACGCCAAUAAGGUGUCCGAUAAAAUAAGUCUUAUAAAAUAUAUAGGUUUAUGAUAGUUAACACUGAGCUAGCAGAUGAGAAUCCUAGUCAUUGGCCAAGCAGCUUUGAACCUAAUCCAAGUUUCUGUGUAUUCAUUUGGGCCCUAACUCAGGCAGGCGGCUGGCAUAAAGCUCACACGUGGCGUUGGGGCUCGGCGGCUUUUGGCAGAAAGAUUUAUCGUAACAACCCUUUCUUUUGCAAAACAUGCAUUAUGAGCACUUUCUAGGAAAGAGAGAGUGAGGAAAAUGAGGACAAGGAGCCAUGAGGGAAAGCUAUAUUCACCAGCUUCCCCCUGUCCUGUCCCCCAAUGGGAACCAUUUUUUAACUCUUUGUACAGUUUCUGGCCACAUUUAAUGGUCUCUAGAUCCCUAAACAACAACAACAACAACAAAAACCACAUCAUUUUGAAAAUGAAAGCUGUCAACUUGCAAGGAAGUGUGCCUCACCCAAAGGCGAGUCCAGCACCCUGUGGCGAGGAGGUGAGGAGUCGUUUCCACAAUCUCUAUGGAUGUCUGUAGCAGGCUACAACUUCUAGGGAACUGUGAAUCCAUCUACCGUGAUGCUGGCUGGCAGGAAAGAAUCCUUGAAUUAAGAAAAGCAGAGGACUUUGUUUCCCUGGAGAUGAGUUACCGCCAAUGGCAGGAAGUUCUUAGGAGCCUUGACCAGGUGUUACUAAGUACCACGGGAUGAUAGAUAAGGCUGGCAUCUCAAAAGGCUCAUCUCCAUUAUGAACUCAACUUCAUUUAGCAUCUCCAUGGAAACAUGGAGACAAGUGUAACUGAGGAGGAAUGGCUGACCCUGAAUGAAGGAGGAACCAUUUGUUGGGCUGGGGUCCCCAGCUGAACAAGAGAACCAGCUGGGUACCAGGGCUUGUAUUUCUCUGCUUCAUGACUGAGGUUGCAGCUUGUUGAUGCACCUGUACUGAUGCUUAGACUAGACCCUCAAACUAAACUGUUAGACGGGGAUUUGGUCAAAGUGAGAAGUAACUAACGGGGCAUGAAAAAGUAGAGGGGCUUUUGUAACACCUCCAUGUUGUCUCGAGAAGAUCAUGGAUCCUGAGUGCCAGUAAGCAGGCACUCAAGGCCAUGUUGUUCAGUGUGAACUUCCUAGUCUCCUGCUUCCUAUUCUCUUGAAGAUCCAUGAAAUGGUAUUCUAAAUUAAGCUGGGCCUCCAAAUUACAUCCAUCUCACUGUGUUGGUUGCUGGUCUCUGUUAAAAUGUCCAGAGCUCAGAGUUUCACAGAGACCCCUGGAGUUCUGAGCCAAGCUCCAGACAGUUGUAUUGCUCAGACUUUCUUCUGUCCAAUUAAUGCUAACUUUCUUAAAGACAAAUGUCACUGGAUGAAGAUAAAAUGUCACCACACAUGGUUAGCCGUUCCUAAACAUCUGGUUGAGUCUGCAUUUAAAGGUUUUAUAAAAAGGAUGCACACGUCAUACUAUUUUGACAUGGUCUUUAGAAAGGUGGAAAUUAAAUUACCUAGGAAAUUAAUUACCUACUCAAGCUUGAUUUCCAUGGUAGAAUCAUUGCGGUGUUUUCUUGCACUGAACUCACCAAUGUUUGGAGACUAAACUAGGUGAGCCAGUUAUUUUCAUGCUUUAUUGGCUACAGAAGUUGUAUCUGUAUUUAGUGUAGACAUGGUGCACAUUAAAUCACUCUAGCAAAAAUAAGCUGAGAGCAUGGUUUCCUUACCCGGGAAGUUCACAUUUUAAGGUGUGAUAGUUUCGUUCAUAUUCAAACUUUUAAGAGACCAGAGACUUCAUCUAGCAACUGAUGGGAGCAGAUGCAGAGUCCUGUAGGCAAACAUUAGGAGGAGGUAGGGAGUCCUUUAGAGGAGGAGAAAGAAUUGCAGGAACCAGAGGGGUCAGUGAUACAUUGAGAACACAGAACACGGCCCACAGAAUCAACGGACCUGGACUCCCAGGGACUCAGAGAUCAGACCUAGGUCCUCUGCAUAUAUGUUAUGGCUGAGUGAUUUGGAGUUCUUGUGGGAUUCCUAACCCACAAGUGGCAGGGGCAGUCACUGACUCUUUUGCCUCCAUGGGAUCCCUUUUCUCCUAUUGGGUUGCAUCAUCCAGUCUUCAUGUGUGUGCCUGGUCUUAUAGCAGCAUACAGUGACAUUCUUGGUACAUGUCCCUGGGAGGCCUGAUCUUUUCUGAGGGG
rnacentral:lncRNA from 1 species